rnacentral:rRNA from 1 species
AAUAUUGGACAAUGAGCGAAAGCCUGAUCCAGCCAUGCCGCGAGUGUGAUAAAGUCCUUCGGUUUGCAAAGCAUUUUAAGUCGGGAGGAAGGGCAGUAAGAUAAUAGCUUGCUGUUUUGACGUCACCGACAGAAUAAGCACCGGCUAACUGCGUGACACCAGCCGCGGUAAUACGAAGGGUGCAAGCGUUAAUCGGAAUUACUGGGCGUAAAGCGCGUGUAGGUGGUUUGUUAAGUUGGAAGUGAGAGCGCCGAGCUCAACCUGGGAACUGCUUUCAAUACUGGCAAGCUAGAGUAUGGCAGAUGGUGGUGGAAUUUCCUGUGUAGCGGUGAAAUGCGUAGCUAUAGGAAGGAACACCAGUGGCGAAGGCGACCACCUGGGCUAAUACUGACACUGAGGUGCGAAAGCGUGGGGAGCAAAC